GACGAACGCUGGCGGCGUGCCUAAUACAUGCAAGUAGAACGCUGAAGGAGGAGCUUGCUUCUCUGGAUGAGUUGCGAACGGGUGAGUAACGCGUAGGUAACCUGCCUGGUAGUGGGGGAUAACUAUUGGAAACGAUAGCUAAUACCGCAUAAUAGCAGUUGUUGCAUGAUAACUGUUUGAAAGGUGCAAUUGCACCGCUACCAGAUGGACCUGCGUUGUAUUAGCUAGUUGGUGGGGUAACGGCUCACCAAGGCGACGAUACAUAGCCGACCUGAGAGGGUGGUCGGCCACACUGGGACUGAGACACGGCCCAGACUCCUACGGGAGGCAGCAGUAGGGAAUCUUCGGCAAUGGACGGAAGUCUGACCGAGCAACGCCGCGUGAGUGAAGAAGGUUUUCGGAUCGUAAAGCUCUGUUGUAAGAGAAGAACGAGUGUGAGAGUGGAAAGUUCACACUGUGACGGUAUCUUACCAGAAAGGGACGGCUAACUACGUG
rnacentral:rRNA from 1 species